UUGACUGUUGUCAAACUGUUGCAUUCCAGCUGCAUCAUUUGGGGAACUACAGCUUGUUUAAGAACUGAUCGGGGAGGAGAAAAUGUAUUAGCAACUGAUUACAUGUUAAAUGUGCGGGGUGUAAAUAGAUUCAGUUUUUUCGCUGGCUCUUCCAUGCGGAAUCAAAGAAUUGAACGUCAGUGGAGAGACACGAAUCAACGUGGUGUUCGACCGUUACUGAACACGUUUAAAGACAUGGAGAAUGCAGGGGUUAUCCAAAGUGACUCCGAACUAGAUCUUUUCAUUUUACAUCAGGUGGCAACUAAUCUAUUCCAGAGGACUCUAGAAACAUACGUAGACUCUUGGAACAACCAUCCUGUACGGACGGAAGGGAAAAAAAACUCCAAAUCAGCUAUAUAUUUCCGGCUUGGUACUACUUAAGCAACUUCAGGAAGAAGGACAAUUUCUCCGACCACGGGUCGAACUUCUCCAGGAUGAUGUUCUUCAUCUUCCGGAUAAUUUCAAUGACAUGGAGUAUUUGGAAUCGAUCGUCGGGCAAUUCCGACAAGCACGAGAAGUCCCCAAAUUCACUAAUCCCUUGAACGCUGAAGAAUUCGUCGAACUUCAUCAAAUAGUUAAUCCACAAUCAGUUAAAUUAGACAAUUUAAGUGAGAAAUUUAUCCUUGCCAAAAGAUUUGCAAUUUUCGUAUUAAGUAACAGGAAUGAGAUUGCAUUGUAAAAUAAACGUCAUUACUGCUA